UUGAAUCCUAAAAGAGAUUUACCCAUUAAAAUUUAUAGGAAAAUCCAAUGAAUCUCAUGAGCCACACUCGAUCGGUAGAACGUAUAAGAAAAUCUGAUAAAUAAUACAGUUUCGAUUAAUGAUACAUUAUAAAUUUGCUCAAAGAUUUUGUUCAUUUUUUAUGUUGCUGUUCAACGGAAAUUGAAGUUGAUUAAUGUCAGCUCAUCCGUACAAAAAAGUGAAGCUCAACAAAUGCAACGGAUUGAAAGCGAACAGUACCAAGAUGAAAAUGGACGCCUCAGAUCCCCAAAUGAAGAAGAUGAUCUAUUAUUGGUUUAUUGGAAAUUGGAAUUCACGGAACCAACUCACCCAUCAAUGGUAUUGACCGCGAAAUUUCGAUUCUCUGUGCUAAAGAGGUUUGUUUUGUACCAACUUUCCUCUGCUGAGAACCUAAGCCGGAAGUUCUGGUUUCGGAUCAUCACCAUUCUAUAACGUUAGCACUGGCGACUGUGC